AUAAAAUAAAUAUUAACAUUAAGUUUUAAUAAUUUAAUUAAAAUAUUGGUCUUGUAAACCAAAA
rnacentral:tRNA from 1 species